rnacentral:misc_RNA from 1 species
GAUGAAGAACGUAGCGAAAUGCGAUAAGUAAUGUGAAUUGCAGAAUUCAGUGAAUCAUCGAAUUUUUGAACGCAUAUUGCGCCCUUUGGUAUUCCAAUGGGCACAUCCGUUCGAGCGUCAUUACAACAUUCAGGCCCUGCCUGGUUUUGGGAGCCGCGCUGAGCAGGGGCGCUCCUCAAAUGCUUAGGCGUCGCCGAUCGCCCCUCUAAUGCAGCGAGAUAUUACCGAGUGCAUUUGCAGAGGGACGGUCCGUCAGACCCGCCGAAACCAUUUUACCAUUUCAAUGUUUGACCUCGGAUCGGAUGGGGAUACCCGCUGAACUUAAGCAUAUCAAUAAGCGGAGGA